rnacentral:RNase_P_RNA from 2 species
AAUCUCGGGUAAUCGCGGUCUGCUAUGCGCAGGCUGAGGAAAGUCCAUGCCCGCACAGGCUGAGAUGCCUGUAGUGUUCGCGCUUAGCCCAAUAAGCUAAGGUACUGCUUUGCAGUAACGGCGAAGGACGCAGCUAAGGAGUGAUCUAUGCUGUUAACCUUCUGAAAAGUGCCACAGUGACGAUCCAGUAUGGAAACAUAUUGUUUGGAACGGGUAAACCCCGCGAGCGAGUAACCCAAACUUUGGUAGGGGCGCUUCAUGUCGGGAAAUGAACAAUGCAUGAAGGCAGAUGAAUAAUCUGUAGAUAGAUGAUUACCCUCAUUGAGUUGUGCCUGAGCAGCUUAAUGAGACAAAACAUGGCUUACAGAG